CCUACGGGAGGCAGCAGUCGGGAAUUUUGGGCAAUGGGCGCAAGCCUGACCCAGCAACGCCGCGUGAAGGAUGAAAUCCCUCGGGAUGUAAACUUCGCAAGAACGGGAAGAAUAAGUAGGGGACAAUACCCCCUAUGAUGACGGUACCGUUUGUAAGCUCCGGCUAACUCCGUGCCAGCAGCCGCGGUAAUACGGGGGGAGCAAGCGUUGUUCGGAUUUACUGGGCGUAAAGGGCGCGCAGGCGGCUGUUUUUGUCAGGCGUGAAAGCCCCGGGCCUAACCUGGGAACUGCGCUUGAGACGGGAUGGCUAGAGAUCGGGAGAGGAGAGUGGAAUUCCCAGUGUAGAGGUGAAAUUCGUAGAUAUUGGGAAGAACACCGGUGGCGAAGGCGGCUCUCUGGACCGAUACUGACGCUGAGGCGCGAAAGCGUGGGGAGCAAACAGGAUUAGAUACCCUGGUAGUCCACGCUGUAAACGAUGUGUGCUAGACGUUGGGGAGCCUAGCUCUUCGGUGUCGCAGCUAACGCUUUAAGCACACCGCCUGGGGAGUACGGCCGCAAGGUUAAAACUCAAAGGAAUUGACGG
rnacentral:rRNA from 1 species